GUCGCGGCCACUGCUGGGGCUCCGCUUCUGGGAGGAGGAGGAGGCUGAGGAGGCGCCGAGAAGCGCAGCGCUGGGUGGGAGGCGCCUGCGCCGACGCGGGGCCCAUGGCCAGGACCACCAGUCAGCUAGGAACCGCCCUGGGCUUCCACCUGGAACGGAGUCCCUGGCGUCUCCGCUGGCGAGAGAAGCAGGUGCAAGUUCUUGCUCGAAGAAACACCUGACGCGCCUGGGCCCCCGUUUGCAGAUUCUCGAUGACAGUGGUCGGGUAAACUCUCCUUUCACGGCCUGGCCAAGGGGCAUUUGGGUGCUUUUCCUGCCCGUGGCUGUGCUCAGCGUUGUGGGAAGCCCCUGGGAGGCCGAAUGUGCAGGAGCACCGAGGGGAAAGUGAGCUUGACAGUGUCCAGGACAGUGCCCAGCAUGGAGCAGCUGCUCAGCCAAGGCUGUGGUCUUGAUGGGACUGCAUUCGCUUUACGUCAUUGAAGCUGCUGGCAUG